UACGUAGGGAGCAAGCGUUGUCCGGAAUCAUUGGGCGUAAAGCGCGCGUAGGUGGCCACAUAAGUCCGUUGUGAAAGUCAAAGGCUCAACCUUUGAAAGCCGAUGGAUACUGUGUGGCUAGAGUACGGAAGAGGCGAGUGGAAUUCCUGGUGUAGCGGUGGAAUGCGCAGAUAUCAGGAGGAACACCAAUGGCGAAGGCAGCUCGCUGGGACGGUACUGACGCUGAGACGCGAAAGCGUGGGGAGCAAACAGG
rnacentral:rRNA from 1 species